UGAGUACAUGUGCUUGACUGCUCACUGCUUGCCUUCUCGUCAAAGAAGAAGGUCCUUGUUUUGCUUGAGCUAUUCUCUCGAACCACCAAACCCAGACUAUACCUAGUCUCCCCACGAGACUGAUUAGAAGAGAAGUCAUAUUCAGGUACGAGAGCGACAGAGCUGGAGCGGUUGCUGCCAUCGACUCUGACCAGUCAAGACUUACCCGAGGUACAAGAGCGACGGAGCUGGAGCUGUUGCUGCUGUCGACUCUGACUAAAGACUUACCCUACUUGGCAGGUACAAGAGUGACAGAGCUGCAGUGGUUGCCACCGCCGACUCUUGACUAGUCAAAACUUACCCGAGGUACAAGAGCAACUGAGCUGGACUUGUUGCCGUCGUCAACUCUGACUAAAGACUUACCCAACUUGGCAGGUAAUCUAGGUUUUC